GACAGAGGGGGCAAGCGUUGCUCGGAAUCACUGGGCGUAAAGGGCGCGUAGGCGGGAUGGCAAGUCGGUCGUGAAAUCCUUCGGCUCAACCGAAGAACGUCGGCCGAUACUGCCGUUCUUGAGGGAUGCAGAGGAGAUUGGAAUUCCCGGUGUAGCGGUGAAAUGUGUAGAGAUCGGGAGGAACACCGGUGGCGAAGGCGGGUCUCUGGACAGUUCCUGACACUGAGACACGAAGGCCAGGGGAGCAAACGGG
rnacentral:rRNA from 1 species